GCUACAGCAAAUAUUGUUUUGUAGAGAGAGCUGACCUUGGUAGUUUAUCUUGCUUUUGCAAGAACUUGUUUUGAAAGCAGGUGUUCCACUUGGGUUUUGUAUCAUGCAUUGGCUGCAGGGGUACAGUGUGCAAGUGGAAAAAUCUCUGCAGACCCUGGGGAGAAUAAAAGCAUGAAAGAAGCUGCAGUGGGGAAGAGAGAAAAAGUGCACUUUGAAGCAAGGGAUGCCCUGCUGGCAUUACCUAUAGGAUCCACCGCUGGCGUGUUCGUUCUUUCUCUUUUUCAGCAGUUUGUUGUCUCUGAAGGAUCAGCUAGAUCUUCUACCUGGGGUAUUGCAUCCAUGCACCAUGGUAAGUCAGAAAGAGGUGACACUGUUGCCUUUGGCAGGAGACCCAGUUUUGUUUCAAAAAGAGGGCAGACCUUGGGAAGCAUCCAUUUAUACUUCCAGAUUUAGAGUAGGCAAAGGCUGUAUUUGUUCCUUCAAAAAAAAAAAAAAAAAAAAAAGAAACCAAAAUAUCCCCCCUAUGCCACACUUGUACUAUAACACAAAAAAGUUUGUGUGCGUGCAUGCUGCAUUUUAUAUAUGUAUGCAUGUAAACAGAUAGAUAUAUAAAUGCAGAAAAUUUUGACGAAUAUAGUUAAGACAGUCAUUAUCAUGACAUUAGACAUGGCAAUGAGCAAUACGUCUAAAAAUGUGUAACAGGCAGCAGAUUCUGCUGCUGGGCUCAUCUAGCAGUCUUCCACCCUAGAGCUUGGGCUAACUCUUUUACAUCAGCUUCAUUGAGGUCAUACAGAAGCCACCCUUACAGAGAAAAAUGGAAAUCGCUAGCGAGUUACACAGAAAAAGUCUCAUCUGCCCAGCUGUGGAAUCCAUGAAGACCCCUUCUCUGGUACUCCAGGAACAUAACAAAAUUUGUAAUUAUGCUAAAGCCAAGUUCUAUGCAGGAUUCAGUACAGAUUGUCUUGCAGUAGCUGAGCUGUGUAACUUCUGGUAGCACUUUGUCAGGAGCUCCCCUUGACUUAGGCAGCCUAAGGGGUGUGAUUUCCAUGGGUGGGAUUGGUUAAAUAUGUGCCCAACAACUUACUUCAUCUUACCUCAGGUGAUAGCUUCCUUGGCCAUCAUAAAGCAGUUGAGUUGAAUGUUUCUGAAACAGCAGGACAGUGUAAGAACAAUGAUUACACAUAAACAGAUUUUUCAUGUCCUUACCUUUACCGAGGUUCUAAUUCUCAAUGACCCAGCUGGUACCUGUGGUUAAAGAGUUUGCUUUAUCCUGAAUUCCACUCGCUAACAAAAACAAUGCUUAAGUUGUAAACUUUGUAUGCCUGAGGAAUGAUAAGAUGUUAAGAUGUUAAGAGUAAUGAAGUGCUCAGGAAUCCUACAUUAAACAUACAUAAUCCUACAUGAAACAUCCUACAUUUAAACAUACUGAGUUGUCGUGGUUUUAUGAUUUGUU
rnacentral:lncRNA from 1 species